AAAAAGGAGCUCACCGUGCUUCCCGACACACCAAGUUCCAAGUGUCUUGUUGUCAACCUGCUUGCCCCAAAGGCCACCGCCACAACAUUGCCGCCGUUGUUCAGGAGUCUAACGUGAUUGGGAGGGACCAUACCAGUAAUGCCGCAUGAUGAUGAAGACGAACAUGUGUUCCUCGCGGAUGCCUCUGCCCUGGUACACAAGAGCAGCAACAUGAAGCGCACACUGCUAGGUUUCAAAAGGAAGGAGCUCACGGUGCUUCCUGACACACCAAGGUAUUAUCACCGGUAACAACUGGAUAAAGUCGGUUUGCUAGAUGAAAAACCGUCCCUGGCGCCAGCGGUGCCAUUUCUGUUGCCUUGCUCAUCCCAAGUGUGUUGCUCUUGUUUUGUUGUUAUCUCUGAGAUGGGGCUGCUAGUAUUCAUCGUGAAGGAUCAUCGGGAGGUGGCGUUGCUCUGCCAUGGCAAGUUUUCUUGACCGAAUUACAAUGCUAGUAAGGUUUCUAACUAAAUGUUGUUGUCAUCACCUAUCAAGCUGUUCACUAAUAAGGUUAGCUUAAUUGGUGCUUAUACUUGUUGACAUGUGGACUCUAAUCUUUUAAUCACAUAGUAGCAAAGGUGUGGGUUUGAUGUAUAUAGAUGAUUUGAUUUGCACUUGUUUGGUAUGAGAUGCCCCCUUAA